UACCAUUUGGUGUGCCCGGGAAAUUUCGAAUGGCAGUUAUCAAGCGAAGAAGGAAGUUGGCUGGCGUGCAUCAUAAAAGAACAUCACUUGUCUGUUGUUCAUCUGCAUGAGUACCAGUGAAGGGGGUCAUCGGCCAUCAAGUUUUUGAUUUCAGUGGUUAAUAGUGAGUGCAGAGUUCGAGAGAAUCACAACAAUCCAUUUGCAGUCAACAUUCUUCUCCAGGCUUGAUGUUCAAUCUGCAAACCUAAUGAAGGCGUAUGCCAAGAAAGGAGGCGUUCAAGGGAGAAAAAUCAAGACC